GGGACUAAAAGGAGAAAGCGGAGGGCCCUGCGUGGGAGGAGCCGCUGAGCGAGGCACAGUGCGAGUCCGGAGCUUCCUGCUAGCAAAGCAGAACGGACGACGCGCUGGACGAGAUGUCCUGAACGCACGCCGGACACCCCGUGGGCUUUACCAACGUUAGACGGAGCAUUUUAGAGGAUUUCAGCGCUCCGUGUGAAGCGCACUCUGAGCCGUGCUUUGUUCCAGCAGAGGGCCACAUUCGUAAGGAUCAAGUCCAGGGAAUUCGCUCUUUGUUCUGCCGCGGAGCGCCUGCUGCUUUUCAGUGCUGUUUCUCUCUUCUUUAGUUCGCUGUAGAUUCUCUUUGUGCGCUCCUUGGAAG